UCCUGGCCGUAAACGAUGUGGACUUGGUAUUGGGAUGGCUACGAGCUGUCCCAGUGUCGUAGGGAAGCCGUUAAGUCCACCGCCUGGGGAGUACGGUCGCAAGGCUGAAACUUAAAGGAAUUGGCGGGGGAGCACAGCAACGGGAGGAGCGUGCGGUUUAAUUGGAUUCAACGCCGGAAAGCUUACCAGGGGAGACUGCUGAAUGUGAGCCAGGCUGAAGACCUUGCUCGAAC
rnacentral:rRNA from 1 species